rnacentral:rRNA from 1 species
CGRGRKUCCURGNUAYANUGCAAGUCGAGCGGAUUUAYCCUUCGGGGUAAGUUAGCGGCGGACGGGUGAGUAWCABGUAGGCAACCUGCCUGUAAGAUCGGGAUAACUACCGGAAACGGUAGCUAAGACCGGAUAGGUGGUUUNUUCGCAUGAAGAGAUCAAGAAACACGGGGCAACCUGUGGCUUACAGAUKGGCCUGCGGCGCAUUAGCUGGUUGGYGGGGUAACGGCCCACCAAGGCGACGAUGCGUAGCCGACCUGAGAGGGUGAUCGGCCACACUGGGACUGAGACACGGCCCAGACUCCUACGGGAGGCAGCAGUAGGGAAUCUUCCGCAAUGGACGCAAGUCUGACGGAGCAACGCCGCGUGAGUGAUGAAGGUUUUCGGAUCGUAAAGCUCUGUUGCCAAGGAAGAACGCCUCGGAGAGUAACUGCUCCGGGGGUGACGGUACUUGAGAAGAAAGCCCCGGCUAACUACGUGCCAGCAGCCGCGGUAAUACGUAGGGGGCAAGCGUUGUCCGGAAUUAUUGGGCGUAAAGCGCGCGCAGGCGGCCGCUUAAGUUUGGUGUUUAAGCCCGGGGCUCAACCCCGGUUCGCACCGAAAACUGGGCGGCUUGAGUGCAGGAGAGGAAAGCGGAAUUCCACGUGUAGCGGUGAAAUGCGUAGAGAUGUGGAGGAACACCAGUGGCGAAGGCGGCUUUCUGGACUGUAACUGACGCUNGARGCGCG